rnacentral:rRNA from 1 species
CCUACGGGUGGCAGCAGUCGAGAAUCAUUCACAAUGGGGGAAACCCUGAUGGUGCGACGCCGCGUGGGGGAAUGAAGGUCUUCGGAUUGUAAACCCCUGUCAUGUGGGAGCAAAUUAAAAAGAUAGUACCACAAGAGGAAGAGACGGCUAACUCUGUGCCAGCAGCCGCGGUAAUACAGAGGUCUCAAGCGUUGUUCGGAAUCACUGGGCGUAAAGGGUGCGUAGGCUGUUUCGUAAGUCGUGUGUGAAAGGCGCGGGCUCAACCCGCGGACUGCACAUGAUACUGCGAGACUAGAGUAAUGGAGGUGGAACCGGAAUUCUCGGUGUAGCAGUGAAAUGCGUAGAUAUCGAGAGGAACACUCGUGGCGAAGGCGGGUUCCUGGACAUUAACUGACGCUGAGGCACGAAGGCCAGGGGAGCGAAAGGGAUUAGAUACCCCAGUAGUC